rnacentral:rRNA from 1 species
UUCCGGUUGAUCCUGCCGGACCCGACUGCUAUCGGAUUGAGAUUAAGCCAUGCGAGUUAUACGCCUUUCGUCUGUGAGAGGUGUGGCACACGGCUCAGUAACACGUUGCCAACCUACCCUGAAGACGCAAAUAACCCCGGGAAACUGGGACUAAUGUGCGAUAGGUCAUUUCUCCUGGAAUGGGUUAUGACUGAAAGGGUUGUGGAAGCAUGUUUUCACAAUUGCUCUAGGAUGGGGCAGCGUCCGAUCAGGUUGUUGGUGGGGUAACGGCCCACCAAGCCUGUAACCGGUGCGGGCUUUGAGAGAAGGAGCCCGGAGAUGGACACUGAGACAAGGGUCCAGGCCCUACGGGGCGCAGCAGGCGCGAAAACUUCGCAAUGUGCGAAAGCGCGACGAGGUUAAUCCGAGUGCCGCCCGCUGAGGGCGGCUUUUCUCAGGUGUAAAUGGUCUGAGGAAUAAGGGGAGGGAAAGCCUGGUGUCAGCCGCCGCGGUAAUACCAGCUCCCCGAGUGGUCGGGACGUUUAUUGGGCCUAAAGCAUCCGUAGCCCGCUCUGUUGGUCCCAGGUUAAAUCCAAUCGCUCAACGAUUGGGCCGCAUGGGAUACCGCAGGGCUAGGAGGCGGGAGAGGCGGACGGUACUCCGCGGGUAGGGGUAAAAUCCACUGAUCCGCGGAAGACCACCAGUGGCGAAGGCGGUCCGCCAGAACGCGCUCGACGGUGAGGGAUGAAAGCUGGGGGAGCGAACCGGAUUAGAUACCCGGGUAGUCCCAGCUGUAAACGAUGCGAGCUAGGUGAUGGAGU